GGGGGCUGCGGACCCCUUAACGUGGAUUACUUGGUGUGUAUCAGCUGGGCUCAGAAGACCCACGACCUCCUCUCCGUCCGUGGAUUGAUUCGUUCUACUUAACAGCUGGGUCGCCAAGCUGGAGAAAACUACACAAAAGUGCCCAAAGCAGGAAAAACAUCUAAUUCACACAGUAAUGCUGGCAAUUUGAUCUAUUUCCUCACUGGUGAAAUCCUACAAAAUAUACAACUUUUUCUCCUCUUCUUUAUUUGUGUAAUCUUAUUUGAACAUUUCCCCCAUGUCGUGAUGGCAUGGUAACUGUAUUCUGCUGCAGGCAUUGACUCAUAAUUUGCUUGACAAUUUCCCUAUUGUUGGACACUAAGUUGUUUCCAAAUUUUUACCCUUAGAAGUAAUACAGUGAGCAUUUUUUGUACAUAAAGAUUUGUCCACAUAUCGUAUUAUUUUCUUUGGAAAAUUCCCAGAAAUUGCUAUAUUUGCUUUAAGUUAGAGUUAUGUCUAAAGCAAAGGAAUAACUCUAUUUCUGGACAUUGUUGAGAUGGGCUUGGAGGAAAAGACGCCACUUACCCAUCAGAUAAUACUGCAUCUUGGAGCGGGGACGCAGAAGUCGCACAGAGUGAAUGGCUACCGAGCAAAUGAAGUGUUUUGUUUUGUUUCUUUUUGUAUCAAAUAAUUGAUCAGCAUUGGUAUGAGAAUAACUUAAAAUUUGCCGUUGGGAUUAUGAUGUACCUUUUUUCAAGCAAUACCAUAAAGUAAGAUAUAUCAGGCAGCUAGAUUUAACAUGCUGUCUUUUUUAAAAAAUUAACUUUUGAUUCUGACAUAAAUCUAGAUUUGCAGGAGUUACAAAAAUAAUGCCAAAGUCUCCACUACAUCCUUUACCCCGCUUCCCCAAAUGCUAACGUCUGAUAUAUCCAUGGUGCAAUGAUCAGACCUGGGACACUGACAUUGACACACACUUUUAACUAAUCUACAGGCCUUAUUCAGAUUUCUCCAUUUGUCCCACUCAUGUCCUUUUUCUGGUCCAGGGUCCAAUUUGGGAUCCUGUAAUGGGACCUUGUAAAAAAGCGGGAACCUAGAGUGGGACAGAAGACAGGCUUUGUUCAGGAGGAGGUUUGAAACUGGGACGUCAUUUCCAUUUUCCUCCCCAAGUGAAUUUGCCCUUCCUCUACUGACGGUAGCAGAGCUGUGUCAGGCUUCCAGGGCCUAUGGGAGCCUGCCCGUAAGUGGGGAAAGCAUCUCUGUGUACCCCUUCCCUCCUUUCCUCUCCCCAAACCUAUAGCGGGAAUGUGUGUGUCAUUGAGUGAAAUUGGGUUAUUACCCAGUCUGCCCUGACACGUCUUCUGGGGGGUAGACAGUUGCCAUCCGGUGUGCGUGAGAGCAAGCUGCUGAGCCGCUGAAUCCGUGGUUGACAAGUACACCGUGCAAUGCCUGUGUGGGUGACUCAUGCCGGCUGCAGUAGCAGGUGUGUCGGGAGCUAAACGUGCAGACCCAGCAGGCGGAAUCGGAGGUUUCUGGCUGACUCGGUGGGUGCUUUGUACCAGGAAAGGACAAGAAAGAGACAGUGAGCUUGGUACCCUCAACACAAGAAGGAAAACAUGGUUGCUACUGCAGCCUGCAGCUGGCCAGGUCGACUUGCACUACCAGGCUGGGGAACAUCAGGAGGAUGGGAAGGAGGACUGAUCCACGUUCCCACCAGGAAGCUUAGUGGAACCCCUGUAUGCCACCUGGACCCCCUGGAAGGACCUGGUCAAGGCUGAACCACCUCUUGAGUGGCAGGAGCUCCGGAUUUGAUCAAAAAUUCUUGGCUGGGCAUGGUGCCUCAUGCCUAUAAUCCCAACACUUUGGGAAACCAAGGUGGGAGGAUUGCUUGAGUCUGGGAGUUCAAGACCAGCCUGGGCAACAUAAGGAGACCCCAUCUCUAAAAAAUAGUAAUAAUAAAAUAAAAAAUUAGCAGGGCAUGGUGGCAUGUGCCUGUAGUCCCAGCUACCCAGAAGGCUGAGGCAAGAGGACGGCUGGAGCCUGGGACGUUGAGGCUGCAAAGAACUGUGAUUACCCCACUGCACUCCAGUCUGGGCAACAGAGCGAGAGACCCUGUCUCAAAAUAAUACUACUAAUAGUCUUAUUUUGGAGAAUAAAGAAACCUCUGGAUUUGAGGAGCCAUUUGGGUAGAAAGCAAAGACCUUCACAAUGAGAAAUAGUCUGUGUUGACCUGAAGGAGCAGAGGGAUGCAUCGCUGGAGGUGACCUACAGUUGGAGAAGACUCAUUAUGCCAGACCUUGUCCUUCUUCCUUGUGGAAAAUGUUUCCUCUGCUGCUACUGCUCAUGAGACUCUUCCCCCUCCCUGUCUCAGGCAACCAAAGGGCUUUCUACCACGCCCUUUCUUGCCCCCCGCCUCCCAUGUCUGCUGUGCCUUUGUACUCAGCAAUUCUUGUUUGCUCCAUUAUCUUCCAGCCGGAUACAGAGUGAAUAGUUAACCACACUUAGGUCAAAUAGGAUCUGAAUUUUUGUUCCUGCUCCGUCUAAAGAGGCCAGUGUUUGUGCGUUGCAAGCAGCCUUGGAAUAGUAACUCUUCUCAUUUGUUUGGGAUCUCAUUGUAUUCCUCAGCCAUCAAGUUCCAGAAUGAUACAUGGAUCAGUGCAGAAGUUCAUCAGGCUCUCGGACCUUAGGGCCAUUGGAGAAGGCUUCAGCAGGGGAACUGAUGGUGAAGGCUGGUGUUCUCCAUCCUCAACUUUCUUUGCUUGGAUCACACAUAAGUAUACAUUUGGAAGGGAAAAAAAUGAACACUGUUGUUCAUUGCAGCCGUGUUUUGUGACACAGAUGCACAGUCUGCUGUGAAGACCUUCUCACAAGUGGCAGUUGGGGGUCCAUGCCAGAUCAUGGUGCUUCAUGACAGACUAACAGCUGCCAGGGAUGGUGACACCUAGUGAGGACCCUCCUCCCCCAGUAUGUGCUGAUGACACAUACACACCUGACAAUAGCUUGAGUCUUCUCUGUUCUUUUUACUCUGUGGCCACCAUACACAUGAUUUAAAACCCUUCCUAAAUAUCUAUCAUGGUUCACCCUUGUCCAAAUGCAGAGUCAAAGCUACUUGUACUUUAUUAUUAUUUCCAAGGCAAAUAGAUGGCUUGCUUUUUACAAAAAGAAUUAAAGCUUUUGUAUGUUGCAGUUGA